rnacentral:rRNA from 1 species
UACGAAGGGGGCUAGCGUUACUCGGAUUUACUGGGCGUAAAGGGCGCGUAGGCGGUUCGUACAGUCAGACGUGAAAUUCCUGGGCUCAACCUGGGGGCUGCGUUUGAUACGUGCGGGCUUGAGUUCGGAAGAGGGUCGUGGAAUUCCCAGUGUAGAGGUGAAAUUCGUAGAUAUUGGGAAGAACACCGGUGGCGAAGGCGGCGACCUGGUCCGAUACUGACGCUGAGGCGCGAAAGCGUGGGGAGCAAACAGG